rnacentral:lncRNA from 1 species
UCCGUUGCUUAUCGGAUCGGGACGGAUUCGGAGCGAGUUAAUUUUAAUUCUAUUUUUGACCUCCACUUACCAUUCUAUUCGGGGGAGGAUAAAAAUAGGAGAAGAUUUUGGCGGAUCGGGAGGAUGAAAGGUCGAAAUGGAUCUUCUUUCUCCCACUCUAUUUAUUUAGCGAAUCGGAAUGGAUUCAAAAUAAAUUAUGUUUUUCUAUAUUUUUUGUUCCACUUAUUGCCAUCUUACGCCUUUCAACAUAUAGCAUGUUGCGCAGUUGCGCUUAACUCUUCGGAUAAAAAAAUAUAUAUAUAUGCACUUAAUUCUUCUAAAAAUUUACACAAUUAGUACUUAACCUCUUAGAUUAAAAAAAAAAAAACACAAACUAAACUUUCUUAGGAGGAAAAAAAAGGUGACAAAAUGGAAAUGUAUUUGGUUGUUUUACUAAUUUUUUCAAUAUUAUAAACAACAAAAUUUUAGAUCAGACAUAAUAAUCCUACCUUAGUCUCAGAUAGUACAAAAAAAAAUUCUAUUAAAAUUUUAUAAUAACUUGAAUAUUUUCGCAAUUCUAAAUUUGCUAAAGUCUCAUAAUGACUAUUAAAAUUAUUAAUUUUGCGGGCUAUAGAUCAUUAAGGCUUAGUUUGGUAUUGAAGCACAUCUAAUGUUGUUAGAUAAAAUGAAAUUGGGGUAAAAGCGUAGAGGAAUAUAUUUCUGUAUUCUCCGGUGGGACUGUAGAAAAUAUAUCGUAACUAGGGAUGCAAACGGGGUGGAUCUGGGGGCGGGAGACUCGCCCGGCUUCCCGCCCCGACUAGCAAAAUCCCGCCCCGCCUCCUGCCCCAAAUCCGUGACGGGUUAAAAAAUACAUCAUAUAAUCCGCCUCGCCUCGUAAUCCGCCUCCCGCCGGCGCCCCGAAUUCGUCCCGCCAACUAAUAUUUUUUAUAAAAUUAUAAUAUUAUUAAUAUUUUGUAAAAUAUAAAUUAAUAAUUUUUAAUAAUAUUAUAUAUAUAAUUUAACAAUAUUAAUUAUAAAAAAAUAUAUUAACCACAAUUCAAAACAAAAUUCAAAAGUU